AUUUCAAAAAAAAAUGGCAGAAAAUAGUUCUGAUAAACUAUAACAAGUAUGCUACUGCUUCAAAUUCAAUUGCUGGUUGUGAACAUGGGACAGGAAAGUUGGGACAGUUGAUAAACAAUUAGAAAUUGCAACAGUUAUUUAUUAUCUGCAUUUGUACUGCACCUUAUGGCAGAAAAUAAGCCACCAGCAGACAACUCUUCUCAGAAAUUCUAUUAAGGAAUAUACAAUCUGACAUUGCUAUACAUCCUGAAAAAUCCCCAUCAAAACUGAAACCUAUUGCAAAUGUCAGAAGAUAUUUUAAAUUACUUUUUCUGCAAUAAUCCAAUGCAACAUCCUUUACCACAUUCAUAAGGUCAGUAAAAUGUCUGGAGAUUCUGGAUUAAGGAUCUUGUACCUCUCAUUUGUUUCAACAUCUCUCCAACCAAAGACCCAAAUGACAAACAAAUUUUACCCAAUUUUCAUUAAAUUAAUUCAGCGGCCAAUAACAGGUUAACAGGAUGAACACAGUACAUCAUUAAGCAGUGAGGACAUAAAAACAUUCAUAAAUCUACAUUUAAAUGAUUAACAAGAUAUAUGUAAAUUUAAAUUAUUUCCUCAUGCAGAGCAGGGACAACAUGGGAACAUCUGCUUGCUACGUUGAACAGCGCAUGCAACUAUCAGAUUAAACCUGUAACUGAUGCUGUGCAUCAAUUCAAAACAAAAUUCUGUUCUGCUGAGUAAAAUGGUGAUGCCAAUUGCUGCCCUAUGACACCGUAUUCCAUGACCUAAGGAAGUAGAUGCCUCCAGGCUCCUUGUCUUCCCCUUUUCUUACAAAAGCCUUUCUAAUUCCAUCUGAUCUACUAUACAGAAAGUGCAGAACAUAAUUUCUGCCAUUUCCAGGACAUCGGCUCAUUCCAGACAGAAAACACAUCUCUUCAGACACUCCCAAUAUAUUUGUAUCUUUUACCACAAGUGGACUUAUUUGCUUACUCCAAUGCUUCUCUUCCUACCUGCAGUUGAGAUUUGUUUGCAUACUCAUCCUCCGCAUGAAUAGUUAGAUUUUCCACUUCAGGAAAUGUAGUACAGGCAGUCUCCAGGUUACGCAAGGAUUCCAUUCCUGAGAACAUCCAUUGUCUAUAGCUACCCAUCUUGUAUCGUUCUACAUGCACCUGCUAAAUUCUUCCAUUUCAUUGAAUAAUCACCCCAACAGUACUCACGUUUAAACCACUGGAAACUACACUGUAUCCCAUCAUUAAUGAACACCAUGAAUCAUUAUUACUUGCUUGAAAACACUUUUUUAAAAAAUGCAUGGGACAAAUUGCACAAAGUAGGAUUUCCAUAAAUCAGGUCAAGGAGGUCCUGUAUUCUAAGCACUCAAUUAGACAAAAAAGGGUUUGUUCCCAAGUUUCGCUACACCAGCUACAAUAUCUCCCAUAUCACUUUGAUUUGCUAUCUCAUCUCCUCCAACAAUUCACCUUAUCAAUAAAACAUUGGCAUUCUUCUACUUCUGGCUUCUUGAAUAACUCCAGUACAGACAGACCAUGGCUUCAGCACCUAAACACAAAGAUGGAGAAUUCCCUAAUUAAGCUUUCAACAUUCUGCAUCUUUAAAAGAUGCUCUUUAGAGCAUUUUUCAAAUUACCUGCCCAUGAACCUCAUUGAGUGCCUUGGUGCCAAUUCUUGUUGGAACACACUGUGGGACUUCUGGAUACCUUAAUGCAACAUAAAUCUUUACAUUUUAUAAUUGCAACAAACAAGAUGGAAUUCAACUUUCUUAUGAGAUGUGGAUUAUUCACCUCAUUAUGAUCUUGCACUUUAUUUACUUUUUGAUAGCUUUUAUACUUUAUUCUGCACUGGGGUUUUUUGUGCUACCUCAAUACACAUUUUUUAUGAUCUGAUCUGUAUAGGAAGUAAGCAAGGCGGGCUUUUCACAGUAUCUUGAUGUAUGUAAUUAUACCAAUUACAGGAAUUAUAACAGUACAGGUGAGGCUCUGUGUGGUCCACCAUGUUGUGCUGUCCAGUUACCUACUCCACGUAGCUCUCCCACAUUCCCCUCAAUUUUUCUAUUAUCUAUGUGCCUAUCUAAGAGACUCUUAGAUGUACCUAAUAUAUAUACCUCUGUCACCACCCCCAGCAGUGUGUGUUCCAUACACCCAAUACUCAAGUGUAAAAAAAAAAUCAGUCCUUUCUCUGACAUCUCCUUUCCUCUAUUCACCUUAAAAUUAUACCCCCUCAUAAUAGCCAUUUCCACCCUGGGCUAAAAACUCUGGCUGUCCACUCAAUCUAUGGCUGUUAUCACCUUAUACAACUCUAUAAAAGGUUCAAAGUGUGUAUAUAGUAUGCCAACUUGAGAUUCGUCCUCCUGCAGGCAACCACGAAACAAAAAAAACGCCAUGGAACUCUUUCAAAGAAAAUGUCAAACACCCAACGCACAUGAACAAAAAACAAAAAGCAAGUUAAUAACACAAUACUAAAAAUCAAACCUUAAAUGUCUUAGAGUAUUUGGUUUAGCUUGGCGCUGUGUGGCUCACUGACUACAGGCACGAGGCCACUCCAUGCCGAAGCACUCCAAUCAAAUCACGCAAAAUAGCAAUUUUUAAAAACAUGGUGGGUAUCUGCUGUGGUCUGGCAGGGUGUCAGAUACAAUUGUGUCAUUCAAGGGGCCCAUGAAAAUGGGCAAGGAGAGACCUGAAAGUUUAUAAGAUUAUGAGAGGCACAGAUAGAGUAGACAAACAGUGCUUCUAUCCCCAGGGUGGAAAUAUCCAAUACAUUUUAAAUUGAAAGGGGUUAAUUUCAAAGGAGAUGUGAGGCUCCCCACCACCACACAGACAGUGGUGGGUUCCUGGAACACUCUGCCAGGAGUGGUGGUGGAGGCAGAUACAUUGGGGACUUUUUAAGAGACAUUCACUAAUGUGAGGAAAAUGGAAGGAUAUGGACAUUGUGUGGGCUGAAGGGUCUGUUCCUGUGCUGUACUGUUCUUUGUACCAAGCUGACAGCUGCAUAAAAUACUAAAUUGCUACCAACUAAGAAGAUUUAACAUGUUUGCACUGUUCAAGUAGAAAGAGUACUAAAAUUGAGAUUCUGAGCCACAAUCUGGCCUCACAUUUUGGCAAGAAUACUGCUUUUCACUGUAACAAUGUAAAUCUAGACCCACAAUGAGCAGUAGCCAACACGAAACAAGGGCUGCCAGGCACAACUGACUAUAUCCGACUGCAACAGAUGUCAGCGUCUACUCUGAGAAAGCCCAUAGAUCCUUUCCCGCUUUCAAACAAAUGCUUGGCUGGCAUGAUUACAUUAUUCACCAACACCAAACAGUUGGUGCUUUAAUUAGGACUCAUUUUAAGCACAAGCUGAAUAAUUCAGCAGCAUAUUAUGUGUUUACUUUUGGGGUCAUGGAAUAAGGCAUAAGGGGAUGGGGGUGAGGGUGGGGGGAGAAGCUCGGCAAAGAUUCACAUGCCCAAAAGUAAAUAAAUUUCAAGAUUCAAACUUGAUAAAGGGAUGUAAUCACUGCAAGCAGAUGUACUAAAUUUAUUAAAACACACUGCUUGUUUUUCAAUGUCUGCCAAAAAAGAACUUUUCUUUACCCACUGUUAGUAGAAAUGCAAUUAAAAGAACCAUUCGACAAGCCACCUGACGCUGCACAUCAAAAUCACAACGGCAAUUUCCACGUGACAAGCAAAACAAAGUGUAAUAACAACUCAGAUUGAUCCGAAAAGGAUCCAGUUCAAGUCAUGGAAAAACAGAAGAACUAUUGAUUUUAUUGAAAAUGAUUGAGACCUGAUGUUAAAAGACAUUUCAAAACUAGUUUCACAGUACUUCUGCUAUUAAAGUUUUUAUGUUCCCAUUUCGGCAGUUAGAUUCCAGACAGGAACAGUAUUUUUUGCUUCACCCUGAACAGUUAAAAAUGAUUCAUAGAGGAACUCUUUCCAAUUGUUAAAGAUGCCCAAGAGGGGAACCGCCCAUGUAAAAUACUUGGCUUCUAAUUUAUUCCACAUUUGUCCUACAAUAACCUUUGUAAACUGUUUUGAAAAAGUAGAAUUAGCUUUUAGGUUGAAAAAGAUUAAUAUUGAUCCAUGGGUGCCACUUCUAACUUAUUUUGUGAGAUCACUCCCCCCCCCCCCCCCCCAAAUCAGUCAUAUUUCAUAUUCAACUUCAGACAUUAUGAUUAAGGCAAAUGAAACAAAUAGUUACAUUUUAUUAUGUUGUUAUUCCCUUCAUGACACCAAUGCAAAUUGGUGUCCCAUCAUCAGCAUCCGACAGGUUAAAGUUUAUGUAUUUGGAGAUAUUGCGCAGAAUAGGCCUUCCUACCCCAUCAAGCCACACAGCCCAGCAACCCAACUAUUUAACCCUAGCCUAAUCACAGGGCAAUUUGGGUUACGGUUAACUGGUAGGUGUUUAGACUGUGGGAGGAAACCCAUGUGCUCAUGGAAAGAAUGCACAAAUUUUCUUACACAAUGUACCAGAAUUGAACUCUGAACUCCAAAUCCCUAAGCUGUAAUAGUGUCAUGCUAGUCGCUAAACUGUGGCAUCCACAAGCUGGAAUCUUGUCAGGCCAUUUUGAAGAAACUAAAAUAGGGACAUGAUAAAACCUGUUCAGUAGUCUGCAGAAACCAAGGCAGAAUUUGCCUUUUCAACAAUUUUGAGUACAUCAAGUCUUUGUUACACACUUUUGAAAGACUGAAAAUGAAACAUUGGAAGAAGCAAAACUUACAGCGAAAGUGCAAUUUGCAAUCAACAGGCUUGCCUAGUCGUGAUCUACAAUGAGGUGUGAGGAAAGGUGUACAACAUAGAUAGACCUAAAUAACCAAGACACUUUCCUGAUGCAUGCUACCUCUGUGGUACACUGCAACUCCAUCAUAUUUCCAGCAGCACUAUUUUCUCUCUCCACCCUACAAAUAUUCCCUCAAAGUAACCCUUUACAAUCACAUCCUCAUUGAUCUUGAUAUUGUGAUGGAUCCAAACAAAAUGAUUGAAGCAUUCAUUGCUACUUUUCACUUUUUUUUAAAGUGGUUUUACUACCAUUGGAGCUUGUGAUCUACAUUCUGGUACUGUGUUUGGGCCAACUGAGCGAUCUCAAGCUUUGCUGGCUCCAAGGGCUUGAGGCCAAGAAGCCUAGAAAUAAGGGUGCAAGCCCAUGAUUGACUCCAUUUCUUGCCAAUCACAGAUUAAGGCAUCAAGGUGAGAGCAUAAUGCAAGCAGGUGAUCAGCACCAUCUACCAGCCUCUUGCUCUCUGCUGCCAGAGGAAGGAGUCUGUAAGUGAUGUCCUUGCUUGCUGCUUCCAGGAGGGCCCUGCAUUCGAAUGAUCUCUCUCACCCCGGCAAUGCUGUCGGAGGAUGGCUCUGAAGUCCUAGGUCUUGGGCAAGGUUUAGUUGAUGUUAUGGAUUGGUCUCUGUAGUUCAUGCUGUGAUGUUUCUGGUCCUGGAGAUCAUCUAACAAUAGAAUCCAUGGAAUCCUGCUACAGAACUCCGUAGGUGGGAUUGUCCAGAAACUGUCGGACUUUCCUGUGGUAUUUUUGAAAGACAUCAGAACUGUUACACUUCCUUUGUCUGCUGGUAAAAUUCAGUCAGCUACAUCAUGGGCACUAGCCUCCAUAGCGUUGAGGGCAAUGCCCCCAAAAGGCAAUGCCUCAAAAAAGCAGCAUUCAUCAUUAAGGAUCCCUAUCACCCAAGUCAUGCCCUCUUAUCGUCAAGGAGGUCGUACAAGAGCCUGAAAACACACUCAACAUAUCUGGAACAGCUUCUUUCCCUUGCCAUCAGAUUUCUGUAUGGACAACAAAGUCUUGAACACUACCGCACUAUUUUUCUCCCUCUCUUUUUGCACUAUGUAUUCAAUUUCUUUUUUAUAUAUUAUUGUAAUUUGUAGCUUUUUAAUUAUAUAUUUCAAUAUUCUGUUGCCACAAAACAACAAAUUUCACAACAUAUGCCUGUGAUAUUAAACCUGAUUCUGAUUUGGGAAAUGACCAGACAAGAGAUUGCAAAAAACAGCAACUGCAAAACACUACAGAAGUAAAUUUUAUAUGAAUCAUUUCAAAAAAUAUUCAUAACUUAGUUUAAAAUCAAGUGCACUAAACCAAACUUGUAUUUCAUAGCUCAUCACGGUAAAAUAUCAGAUGGAACCCUGAUAGUGAUGUUCUGCUGUGCUUUGAAUAUUUCUCAAAUAUGCAUACGGAUGCUAAUUGUCCAUUUAUAUUCAAUUUUAAAUGUGAGGAUAAUUAUCCUAAACUGAUAAGUGUGCUUUGCAUAAACACACAAGUAGCAUGUCAGCUUUGAAAAUAAAAGCUGAAUAACCCACCAUACUGAAAUAUUAAAUACUAUACAUCGGUAUAAUGCUCCUGAAACACACACCCACCACCACUCCAGAGUAAACACUAACUUGAAAGGGGAGCGGUGGGGUGGCAAAAGUUAAAUUCAGAAACAGACAGCUAAGCAGUUUCCAAAUGUAUUCAACAUUUGACAAGUUUCAGUCAAGAGACAAGUAACUUACAAGAAUUUUCAAAGCCAAGUCCCACAUGACACAAGUGAAGUCUGUAAAUAUUUGCAAAGGUUGUGAAGGAUGCGACAUGCACGUAAAUACACAGAGGGUGCUUGAUCUCUGUAUGUUAAUUUUACAUAAAAUUAGUCUUUCUCACAGAAAUCUUUUCAGAACAUCUGGUCUCCCAGAAGACACUAUUGUAACAACCAGGAGUAUUAUCUCCAGUGACCUUCCUAAUCCUUCAACAAACUUUGCUAAAAGUAACAGAUUGUCCUGUCACAUCGCAUGUGGCUUAAGAGAUUGGCGGUGCAAAACUGUCCAAGUUUUCAAGAAUAGGGUAGCAGUUAUAAACUGAUUUGGUAUGUCGAUACACUAUAUUACAACAUUUAUAUCUUUCCAUA